rnacentral:rRNA from 1 species
CAGAACGAACGCUGGCGGCGCGCUUAACACAUGCAAGUCGAGCGGACCCGCAAGGGUUAGCGGCGGACGGGUGCGUAACACGUGGGUAAUCUGCCCUGGAGAGUGGGAUAACUCGCCGAAAGGCGAGCUAAUACCGCAUGAGCCCACGGCUUCUUCGGAAGCUGAGGGAAAAGGUCGCAAGACGCUUCAGGAUGAGCCCGCGGCCCAUUAGCUUGUUGGUGAGGUAACGGCUCACCAAGGCUGUGAUGGCUAGCUGGUCUGAGAGGAUGACCAGCCACACUGGGACUGAGACACGGCCCAGACUCCUACGGGAGGCAGCAGUGGGGAAUAUUGCGCAAUGGGCGAAAGCCUGACGCAGCGACGCCGCGUGGGUGAUGAAGGCCUUCGGGUCGUAAAGCCCUGUCGCAGGGGAAGAAUAAGCAUCGGUAUAAUACGCCGGUGCCCUGACGGUACCCUGCAAGAAAGCACCGGCUAACUCCGUG